GGCCUGUUAGCUCAGUCGGUAGAGCAAGUGACUGAAAAUCACUGUGUCCUUGGUUCGAUUCCGAGACAGGCCA
rfam:Sulfurimonas sp. AST-10 Contig04, whole genome shotgun sequence.